ensembl:rRNA 5S_rRNA 5S ribosomal RNA
GUCUACGGCCAUACCAUCCUGAACACGCCCGAUCUCGUCUGAUCUCGGAAAAAAUGUGCGAAAGAUAAAGGAUAUGCAAAAUCUUAGUUAUAGUUG